GAAGUCACCCAUUGAGAUGCUCAAAGGUUUGGUUCAAAACGUUGCUGGAAAAGAUCAGUCUUUAGGGCGAUGAGAUAUUGUUUAUAAAUGAGAUUUAUAAUAUAUGUUUUAUAUUUUGAUGUUAAUUUAUUUAUUUCUCUUCCAGCCUGUUCACACUGUUCAAAAAAUGGCUGUAAUUUCCCCUCCUGGUCAGCAGGUGGCAGCGACAGCAGGAGUCUGAAAAUCAAGAAGCAGGAAGUGGUUGUGCUAUGGAUGCAGUUUCUUCUUGUGAACAGCAGGUGGCAGCAGCAGGACUUUUCACAUGGUCACAAAGAAACAGGAAGUGGUUAGACUAAGUAAAACAAACAUCAUUACAUGUUUCAUAUUUAUUCUCUGCGAUGUGGAUGAAUUAGUUAAUUUCAGACUGGUGUAUCUUUGACUCAUGAGCUCUCUAUUUGGCUGUUGGGACUUUAUAAGAAGUUACAAAUAGUGGAAAUAUGUCAGAUGUUGGUUAGCUUUAGCCAUGCUAAUGCAGUGUUGCAUUGUGGGUAAUAAAAUUGUUGUUUUUUUUUUAAACGUUAGAUGUAAACUGUUUUUUAAUUUUCUUCAACAUUUAUUCCAGUAUGCUUUAACUGUGGUAGCAAGACAGCUUCCAGGCUCUGGUUUUGUUAGGUGAUAGUGUGUUGGCACCAUGAUUCAUUUAGGUGUGUGUGUGAAAGACAUCCCGGUGUGUGAGUAGAACAACUCAUACUUACCUGGCAGGGGAGAUACCAUGAUCAAGAAGGUGGUUCACCCAGGGUGAGGCUCAGCCAUUGCACUCCGGUUGUGCUGACCCCUGCGAAUUCCCCAAAUGUGGGAAUCUCGACUGCAUAAUUUGUGGUAGUGGGGGACUGCGUUCGCGCUCUCCCCUGA